GCACCCGUAGCUCAGUAGGAUAGAGUACUGUUUUCCGAAAACAGAGGUCUCAGGUUCAAUUCCUGUCGGGUGCA
rnacentral:tRNA from 3 species